rnacentral:rRNA from 1 species
AAUCAACGCUGGCGGCGUGCCUCAGACAUGCAAGUCGAACGCGAAAUUUCCCUUCGGGGAGAAAGUAGAGUGGCGCACGGGUGAGUAACACGUGGGUAAUUUACCUUCGGGUGGGGAAGUAACGUCUCGAAAGAGACGCUAAUACCGCAUGAUGCAGCGGCACCACAUGGUGACAGUUGUUAAAGCGGGGGAGUCGCAAGACCUCGCGCCUGAAGAGAAGCCCGCCGGCAGA